GUGAGCUAGUGGACGAAACGCUGCUACGGCAGAGGAAACUCCUCCCUUCAUACAGGAAAUGUGAUCUGGAGAUAGAUAGUCAGAGAUGGCUGGCAACAGAACAGAAAAAAAUCCCAUCUGGAGUACAGUGAUGGUACUGCCUGAGGUUUCCAGAGACGGAAUGAAAAUCUGCCCCACAUGAAGCAAGGUCAAAUCGAACCAUAGGUUCCUGUAACAGGUUCAGGUAGACCGCAUAGCGAAAUAUCGUUUAGAACAGAAGGAGGGUUACGGCUAGCACUC
rnacentral:RNase_P_RNA from 1 species